AAAUUGAAGAGUUUGAUCAUGGCUCAGAUUGAACGCUGGCGGCAGGCCUAACACAUGCAAGUCGAGCGGCAGCGGGAAAGUAGCUUGCUACUUUUGCCGGCGAGCGGCGGACGGGUGAGUAAUGCCUGGGAA
rnacentral:rRNA from 2 species